rnacentral:rRNA from 1 species
UACGGAGGGUGCGAGCGUUGUCCGGAAUCAUUGGGCGUAAAGGGCGCGUAGGUGGCCCGGUCAGUUCGUGGUGAAGCGCGGGGCUCAACCCUGCGUCGGCCAUGAAUACUGCCGCGGCUGGAGCACUGUAGAGGCAGGCGGAAUUCGGGUGUAGCGGUGGAAUGCGUAGAGAUCCGGAAGAACGACCGGUGGCGCAGGCGGUUC